rnacentral:rRNA from 1 species
AACGAACGCUGGCGGCAUGCCUAACACAUGCAAGUCGAACGAGACCAUCGGGUCUAGUGGCGCACGGGUGCGUAACGCGUGGGAACCUUCCCUUAGGUUCGGCAUAACUCCCCGAAUGGGGUGCCAACACCGGAUAAUGUCUUCGGACCAAAGAUUUAUCGCCUUUGGAUGGGCCAGCGUUGGAUUAGCUAGUUGGUAGGGUAAAAGCCUACCAAGGCGACGAUCCAAAGCUGGUCGGAGUGGAUGGUCAGCCACACUGAGACUGAGACACGGCCCAGACUCCCACGGAAGGAAGCAGUGGGGACGGAGGAACAAUGGGCGAAAGCCGGAGCCAUCAAGGUCGCGUGAGUGAUGAAGGCCGUAGGGUUGUAAAGGUCUUUUACCCGGGAUGAUAAUGACGGUACCAGGAGAAUAAGCACCGGCUAACUCCUU